GACAGAGGAUGCAAGCGUUAUCCGGAAUGAUUGGGUUUAAAGGGUGCGUAGGCGGGCCUUUAAGUCAGUGGUGAAAGCCGACAGCUUAACUGUCGAAAUGCCAUUGAUACUGGGGGUCUUGAGUACAGUAGAGGUAGGCGGAAUUAAUGGUGUAGGCGUGAAAUGCAUAGAUACCAUUAAGAACACCGAUUGCGAAAGGCAGCUUA
rnacentral:rRNA from 1 species